UUAUUUUUUGCGCAGAUUACAUUCAUGAUUUUAUUCAGCAUUAUGUGAGAGCUGACGAAAUACAAGAUUCACUUCAAGAAUUGGAGAUCUUGAAAUUUUGGAUGCUGUGUUUAACAGUAUUGACGGUGAUUGCAUUAAUAUCAAUGUUUUUAUGGACCCGCAAGAGGAAGACAUUGAACAUUGAGAACGGGGGCAAAGAAUCACGAUUAAAAAAUAAUAUGUUUUCUGUAAAGUUCAAAGACAACGCGGUCAGUAUACUCAGCGAGACAAUUGACAACCCGUAGACUGAGAAAAUGAUAUCAGCGCAGACAACGAUGAGCUCGUGAUUCGACCCCCAAGCCAGCACAAUAGACUCGUCGCCGAACAAGCUGCGCUGCAAAGAUGUCACACUUCAGACCCGGGAGUUCAUCGGCUAUGACAACUUAGAGAUGUAGAAAAUGUCCCCCGUGUUCCAUACUAAACUAUAACUGACAAUAUUUUAUAAAAAUGUAUAUAAUUUAUAUUAUAGUCUAUAGAUAGAUGGAUUACCAUCACUUAUCAACAUUUGAACAUUUGUAUCAUAAAUUAUGUAAAUAUAUAUAUUUUUUUAAUAAUAAUAACUAUUUAUUAAUAUUUUACAAUAAUACAAUAUUUAGCUAAUAAUAUAUUCUAGUGUAUUUAUCUCCUGUAAGCAAAUCUUAAGUUGAUAGUAGAGUUAAUUAUGGAAAUUUUACAUUAUAUUAUAGUCUUUGGGUUCAAUAUAAGAACCUUGUUCAGAAAAAUAUUGAAAACGUUUGUGUUCAGUUUUGAAAACUAUUAAAGCGCCUUUUACUAUUUGAAUAAAGUUAGUGAAAUUACUUAAACAUUCUGCAAAAAAUUUUCCUUCACAUAUCAUUUGUUCAACAUAAGUUUUAAUACAAAUAGCAAUACUCACAGAAAAAUCUGUUUCCAUCACAUAAACCUCAAUUUAUAUAACAUUUCUGGGCAUGAUGGGAUUAGCAUAUAAGCAAGA